rnacentral:rRNA from 1 species
UACGAAGGGGGCUAGCGUUGCUCGGAAUUACUGGGCGUAAAGCGCGCGUAGGCGGACCUGCAAGUCGGGGGUGAAAGCCCGAGGCUCAACCUCGGAACUGCCUUCGAUACUGCGGGUCUCGAGUCCGGGAGAGGUGAGUGGAAUUCCUAGUGGUAGAGGUGAAAUUCGUUAGAUAUUAGGAAGAACACCAGUGGCGAAGG